UACGAAGGGGGCUAGCGUUGCUCGGAAUCACUGGGCGUAAAGGGUGCGUAGGCGGGUCUUUAAGUCAGGGGUGAAAUCCUGGAGCUCAACUCCAGAACUGCCUUUGAUACUGAGGAUCUUGAGUUCGGGAGAGGUGAGUGGAACUGCGAGUGUAGAGGUGAAAUUCGUAGAUAUUCGCAAGAACACCAGUGGCGAAGGCGGCUCACUGGCCCGGUACUGACGCUGAGGUGCGAAAGCGUGGGGAGCAAACCGG
rnacentral:rRNA from 1 species